rnacentral:rRNA from 1 species
ACGUAGGGUGCAGGCGUUAAUCGGAAUUACUGGGCGUAAAGCGUGCGCAGGCGGCUCCUUAAGUCAGAUGUGAAAUCCCUCGGCUUAACCGGGGAACUGCGUCUGAUACUGGAUGGCUUGAGUGUAGGAGAGGGAUGCGGAAUUCCAGGUGUAGCGGUGAAAUGCGUAGAUAUCUGGAGGAACACCGGUGGCGAAGGCGGCAUCCUGGACUACUACUGACGCUGAGUGAGCGAAAGCCAGGGGAGCAAACGGGA